rnacentral:misc_RNA from 1 species
ACCGAGUUUACAACUCCCAAACCCCUGUGAAUCAUCCACUUGUUGCCCUCGGCGGAUCAGCCCGCUCCCGGUAAAACGGACGGCCCGCCAGAGGACCCUAAAUCUCUGUUUCUAUAUGUAACUUUCUGAGUAUUAAAGCAUAAAUAAUUC